rnacentral:lncRNA from 1 species
CUCCACUUCAAAGCAAGAACAUUUUGUUGCUAGAACAGCGACGGUGGCGACAGCGACGGCGACGGCGUUGGCGAUGACGACGACAACCACGACGGCAAAUGUGAAACGACAAAAUGGCGACGGCACUGUCAAUGCUGUGCUAACGGUACCAGACCAGCGACAGAGCAUGGCAACACUGGCUGAGCAGCCAGCCAGGCCAGCGGUGGCUUUUGCUGUUGCUUUUACUGUUGUUUUUUGUUGUUUCGCUCUUCUUCUAUUUGCCGCGCUGCAUCUUUAUUUAUUUUCUUCUGUUAUGUGUUCUGUGGGAGCUUCUAUCUCUCUCCUGCUGUCUGUUUCUUCUUCGUUGCGUUUUUUGCGCACUUUUCGUGGCUCGGACUCUGAGCGUUUUCUUUUCUUUAUUUGACUUUUCUUUCGAUACUUUUUCUGUCGCUUGCCUUUUGGUUAUCGCUGCCCCCACCCCGACACACAUAUGUUGCAAUGCAUUUGUGUAGCAGUGUGUCCUGCCGAUUGAUCUUAAUAUGACACAAAUU